rnacentral:rRNA from 1 species
AGAGCGAACGCUGGCGGCAGGCCUAACACAUGCAAGUCGAACGGACCCUUCGGGGUUAGUGGCGGACGGGUGAGUAACACGUGGGAACGUGCCUUUUGGUUCGGAAUAGCUCCUGGAAACGGGUGGUAAUGCCGAAUGUGCCCUUCGGGGGAAAGAUUUAUCGCCAUUAGAGCGGCCCGCGUCUGAUUAGCUAGUUGGUGAGGUAAUGGCUCACCAAGGCGACGAUCAGUAGCUGGUCUGAGAGGAUGACCAGCCACAUUGGGACUGAGACACGGCCCAAACUCCUACGGGAGGCAGCAGUGGGGAAUCUUGCGCAAUGGGCGAAAGCCUGACGCAGCCAUGCCGCGUGAAUGAUGAAGGUCUUAGGAUUGUAAAAUUCUUCACCGGGACGAUAAUGACGGUACCCGAGAAGAAGCCCCGGCUAACUUCGUGUCAAGCAGCCGC